rnacentral:tRNA from 1 species
GGAGAGAUAGCCAAGCGGCCAACGGCAAGGGACUGUAAAUCCCUCGGGCUUCGCCCUUCGCAGGUUCGAAUCCUGCUCUCUCCA